GCGACGGACCUGCCGUGGCACCGCGGGGUCACCCACCGUGUGCUGGGGCCGUCGGGCUCUGCCCUCGCGGGCCUGGCAUUCUAGCUGGAGGCAGGCAGACAAGGUCGGUGAAAGAGAUGACCGGAGAGUUAGGCGUGCUAAGCGGAAAAAUGGGAGCUGUGAGCGGGAGGCGUGGGAGGGUCGCCGCUUUAAAUAAGAGCGCCAGGACAGGCCUCCUGCGGAGGGGACUAUGCUGUGAAGGCUCAGAUAGUGACGUGUGAAGGACGUCGGAUAAUUAUGAAAUUAAUUGUAAUGAGUCAAAGUCAUUUUUCAUUUAAACUAAUUCAGUUAAUUCUAGCUUUAAAAUGUUUUAAUUUUAAUUAGAGUUGACAUUCAAAAUUAUACAAUAUAGUGAUUAGACAUUUGUAUACCUUACGAAGCCAUCCACUGAUUAGCGACCUCUGGCACCACACAGUUUUUACAAUAUUAUUGACCGUCUUCCCCACGCCAGUGGCUGUUUCGUAGCUGCCAAUUUGUACUCUUAAUCCCUUCACCGUUUUUACCGAGGCUCCCAGCCCCGCUCUCAUUUGGCAGCCAUCAGUUCAUUCUAGCCUUUUUGAAUUCAUUCAUAAGCUAAGCUUAUAGCUAAUAAUGAGAUCAGAAUUCGUGCCAUGGUAAAUAUAGUUUUUAGAUUAUUCAAGAUGCUGGGGUAGGGGUAGGAGGAGGGCAAUUUCUAGGUCAAAUAACAGCACUGUAAUGGCUGCUAGAGAUUUUAUGGAGAAGGGUAGAUGUGCUGACCCUAUGGGGUCAAAUUCACAUUUGUAUGGCUUGAUCGUCUGUAUAAAUAUUUAGUUGUGUCAAUCAGAAUGUAUAAAUAAAUGUGUUCACUAAACACAAAUCAUGACGCUAAUAACAUGUUAGUAAACAACGUCAACAGAUUUAUUACCCUAUCUCAGGUUAGACCGAAACUGAUUGGAAGUCAGUUGUACUAUUUAGUACUAAAGGAACGUAACCCUCACCGACUACGAGGGCAGGCGAAGCCUGCGGACCACCCUAGCGGCCAAGGAAGCGAACACACUGUCACCUGACUAAACGUUUCUCUAGAGGAAAGAAAACACCCGUGAAGUUAGUGAGUCUGUGGGGAAUCUCUUCCGUAAAGCAGGCAUCUGCGGUCGGCCCAGGAGUUCGAUCCAUGGUUCAGGAAAAAGAAGCGGGCCUGGCUGAAAGCAGUCCAACCGCUGGUGGGCAGCCACACCUCCCGUUAGACGUCUCCUUCCAGACAGCGAGCAGGAGAGCCACGGGGCCCAGGUAACAGGUGAGGGAGGGGGGACAGGGAGAGGCUGCGAAGGCAGGGCCUGCCUGCCCCACAGCUGAAGGUUCAGGGGCACAAUUUGCAAUGGGUUCAAGGUCAGAGUCAAGCUCUCUGUACAGAACUUAUCUGUCAGAAUGCCGCAGAGAUAGGCUUUCCAUUUUAAUUUUUCCAUUAGAGUUGACAUUCAGUAUUACUUUAUGUUUCAGGGGUACAGCCUAGUGGUUAGACAUUUUUAUAACUUACAGAGUGGUCCCCCUAGUGGCCACCUGGCACCACAGUUAUUACGGUGUUACUGGACUCAUUCCGUGUUGCACUUCACAUCCCUGCGACUUCUGCAGAGAUGGACGUUUUGAUUUUGGCCUCCACGUUGUCUUAAACUGGUUAAGGUUGCAAGGGAUGCAUCUAACUUGUGAAAUGCUUAGUUUGUCAGAUGUUACAAAAGACAAAAGCACAAGGUCCUGUCUGCUCCCCAGGGGUGAGUAGUUCAGGCCUCUGGUAAGCGUUGCCGACAGGACUGUCUGUGCACACGUUCACACGCAUCGUCAGGCGCUCGGUCCCUAGCGGCUUACACUGCUCCUGCCGCUUUGCCUACUUAACACCUCGUGGACCCAGCCACACUGGGGAAAAGUUGUUGCCCUUCUGUGCCAGACGGCGUGCCGAGUCCUGGGCCAUCGACAGUGAGUUAACGGCCCUCCGUGAGCUUCUGAAGUCUGUCCUCUGCUGGCCUGCGUUUCCCGGAGGCACAGGAAGGUGGUCACCUGCCCCAGGCUGGUGGCAGAGGGAGGUGCUGGGGUCUCGGCCAAAGGAUCUGGAGUCCUGUCAACCUCCCACGCCACACCCACAGCCUCCCCCGUCUCACCCGCUGUGGAAUGACGCCGGCCUGUGCUAGGCACGGGGACGCCCUCCUUUUUAUUUUAAUCAUUAAGCCAAAAACUGUCAUCGUAUCGUACAUUGAAUUUAAAUUGGGGAGCUCAUUUCUUCACGUUGAUUUAUACAAGCUUUUUAUAUAUUAGAUUACUUAAAAGGUUAUGGGCAUUGAAUUAAAAAGAACACAUGUUGAUUAGAAAUUGCAUAUGGCAAGAGUCUCCUUGCAGACCGCCCAGGCGUGCAGCAGGGCUGGAGGCGCCCCAUCACUCCGUGGAGUCCGAGCCUUCGAGCGGAGCACUUGGCUUGGCUCUGUUGCAGGAAGUGACACCCGACGGAGGAAUCUGGACCCUCAGACAACUUCCUUAGAGGAAGGAGAAUUUAUUGCCAGCCGAGAGCGUGGGGUGAACACCAAGCGCGAGCUCCCCUCGAACCCGUGACCUUGGCGUUAUCAACACUGUUACAGGAUUCUCGAACGGAGAGACGGGACUCCUAGGCCGUAAGCGGGGAGCAGCACUUACUGACGCCGGCACCGGCUGGCGGGUCCCUCUCCAAAGGCUGAGCCCCGGCUGUAGCGUAACAGGCAGCUUUACACGGGCUCGUUCUUCCCGCACAGCUGCAGAGGCAAGAGCAUGAGCUGGUCGGCGAGCUGCGAAUCGGCAGAUGGGCUGUAACAGGACGGGUCUCCACUCCCUCCCCUGACCUCUGCCUCCAUGGUCACCAUCGCCUUCCCCGAGACCUCGCCCGGCCCGCGCCCGGCCCCAGGAGGCCAGCGCCUUCGCUCCCGCGGGAGCCAGUGGUGCUGACUUUCGGGGCGCACAUCCCGGUCGCUCCGUGUUCUCUGCUCUGAGCUGCUCUCCCGUGAGCGCGUUGUACGGGUCCGGUGGCGCGUGCUGCAGAAUUUUAAAGCUUCUCCGUUUAUGAACAUGAGUCCUUUUUGGGUCCCUGACACGUCACCCUGCCCUCGUCCCAUCACCGUGUAACAGCGACCACACGUUUAGUGGCCAAUGCGGAGCAGCACGUUUGUGAUCUCAGGUCCCGCAGGUCGAGUCCAGGCUGACACCAGCUGUCCGCCGGGCCCUGCCGUCCUCCAGGCCGCCCGGGUUGUGGGGAAGAGCACGACUUUGUGGGUCCAGGGCUAUCUGCAGGGGCGCUUGGAGCUCCUCUCGCAACAUGGUAGGAUUUGUUUUCAAAAUUUUUUAAAAACUGCAAUUGAUAUGGUGGCUUCUUCACAGCCACCUCACACUUCGCCUUUCCUGAAAGACCUCUCUGAUCAGGUCAGGCUCACCCAGGAUGAUGUCCAUUUCGAUUACUCCAAAGCAGGGGAUUACUAAUGGGAGUGACGAGUGCCGUGCAUCCUGUUCACAGGUCCCGCCCACACUCACGGCAGAGGUGGGGGCCCUCUGAGAACCCAGCCUCCCUCGUCCCCACGGCGCCUCCAGGCGGGAGUCACGCCUCUACCUCGCCGGGUCCGAGUUCUCCCGGCUUGCCUUGCGGCAUUCUCCGGCCUCUCACUUAUGCUGCGAAUGUUCUCUGAGCUUCCCACUUGUUUUACAUUUCUUUACAGAGGACUUGGGGAGAGACUGUACAUUUUCGCGUAGUCAAAUCCUUCACUGUUUCCUUUUCAUGUCUUUGUUUUGAAGCUUAGGAAGGUGUCCCCCAAUGAGGAAUCAGAUUAAAACUUACAUCUUACUUUUUCGUAGUCACUUUUUAUAUUCAUUGUCAUCCAUCUGGAAUUUAUCUGAGCAUACCGGUUAGAUCUAACUUACGUGCUCCCUUAAAAUGGUAAGCAAUGUUCCUAGUGUCAUUUAUUGUGUAACCCUUCCUUUUCCCACUUAACUUUUGGUGCCACUAAUUUUAUGUACAUGCGCCUACAUAUAUCCAUAUGAGGGGCUCAUUCUCAUCUAUAUUUUCAAUUCCAUUGGCCUGUUAUUCUUGUUCUGCAACUACAUGAAUUUAAUUACUAUAAUUUUUGAUACAUUUUAAAACUUUUAUUUUGAAAUGAUAAAUUCACAGAAAGUUGCAAAGGAGCACAGAGGGGUCGCGUGGACCCCGCCUGGUCUCCCCCAGUGGUAGCACCUUAUAACUCCAGCACGAGGCUGAUGCCAGGCACCGGCCCUGGCACAGUGUGUGUGCUGUGCCAUCCUAUUACCUGUGACCGUCACCAAGGUCGAGACACAGCUGUCCAUCACCGCAAAGACCUGCUGCAUGGCGCCACUGUACAGUCACCCCACCCCGCACCCUCCCCCCCUCGCCAUCCCUAAACCCUGGCAACUCCUGGUCUGUUCUCCACCUCAGUGAUUUUGUCAUGUGGAGAAUGUUAUGUAGCGGGAAUCAUAAAGCAUGUGACCUUUUGAAAUUGGUCUUUUUCACUCAGCCUAUUUUUAAUAGCUGAUAAAUAUUCCUUAAAUUUCUCUUUUCAAAACUUUCUUGCAAUUAAGCAUACUCUGCCUUAAAACAGUAACUCAUGGGAGUAUUCAGACACAUGGCGAGUAUAACGAGUACCAUAUGUGCGUCAUCCAAUGUUUCCAAUAUUGGAUCAAUCAAUAUGUUAUUUUGUUUUGCCUAUCACUUGUUUUUCUUCAAGCAAAUUUGAGACACAUAAUUUUAGCCAUAAAUAACACAGUAUACACCUAUCAGAUAAGGAUUUUUUUUAGCACAACCACAAUGGCAUUGUCACAUCCAGGAAAAUUACUAUUCAUCCUUUACUGUCAUCUAAUACUCAACGUGAUUCUCUCAAGAGUGACUUUGCUGGGUCCACACACUGCAUUCGGUUUACAGUCUCUCAAGCCUUGUUAUAAAAGUCCUCUCUGCUAUGGACUGAAUAUCUGUCCCCCAUCCCCCUAUUCACAUAUCGAAGGCCUGACCUCCAGGUGUUCAGAGGCGGGGCCUCUGGGAGGUUAGGUUUAGAUGCAGUCACCACAGUGCAGGCGCCGUGGUGGGAUCAGCACCUUUUGAGAGGAGGGGAGACCACAGUCCUCUUUUCUUUGGCCACUUGAGGACACAGCAAUUAAACGACCAGGGAGGGUCCUCGCAGGAGCCCAAUCGGUGGCACCAGGUCGCGGGACUCCCAGCCUCCAGAAUUAUGAGAUGUCUGUCUAAGCCCCCAAGCCGGGGUGUUUUGUUAUAGCAGCUGGGACUGAGACGCCCUCCUUUUUUCUGUUACUCGUAGAAACACUGGGGUCAUUUUUUUCAGAAUUUCCAGCAUUUUGGAAUUGGCUGACUGCGAUCUUGUGGCACGUUAGCCUGCAUAAUGCGCACGCUUGUGGCUUUCCUGUACAUACAGAAGUGUACGUACAGGAAUACGUACAGGAAUAGAGCAGUCUGUCCAUCACACAGCUGCCAGCUUUAAAACACAGAUGUGAAAGAGAAGACCCUCCCCCCGCACCGCCCGGUUCAGACGUCCUUCCUGGCAGACUGUCUUUCUUCACGGUGGAUUCCUGGACGCCGUCCUCUGCAAGGCCGAGAGAGACCAGACCCUCGCCGCGUUCCCUGGAGUCUUUUCUGGGUUUGCUCAGUCUCUGUGCAGCAUGUAACACUGCCCCUGAGUUCGUCUUUCCUUUCUAACAGCUUUAUUGCAUUAUAAUUUACGUGCCAUAAAAUGCACCUGUUUAGAGCAUACAGUUCAAUGACUUUUGAUGAACUCUCAGAGUUGGGCAGCGGGUUUCAGGAACAUUCCCAUCACCCUCAAAGAACUCUUGUGCCUGUUUGCAGCCAAUCCCCGUUCUCACCCUUAGCCCGGAUUCCCUCUAUAUAAACGUGCCUUUUCUGGACAUUUCGUAUAAAUGGAAUAAUAAUGCACGUGGUCUUUA